UACGUAGGGUGCAAGCGUUAAUCGGAAUUACUGGGCGUAAAGCGUGCGCAGGCGGUUUUGUAAGUCUGUCGUGAAAUCCCCGGGCUCAACCUGGGAAUUGCGAUGGAGACUGCAAGGCUAGAAUCUGGCAGAGGGGGGUAGAAUUCCACGUGUAGCAGUGAAAUGCGUAGAGAUGUGGGGGAACACCGAUGGCGAAGGCAGCCCCCUGGGUCAAGAUUGACGCUCAUGCACGAAAGCGUGGGGAGCAAACAGG
rnacentral:rRNA from 1 species